GGGGUAGAGUAGACACCACCCGAUAGUUCAGGGGGUGAUGUAGACUUUUUCCCAUAUAUUUUUGGUUACUGAUUGGGAGCUCACACUGGGCCAGUCUAAAGGUAGAGUUACAUAGAUGCCGAUCAAUUUAUAGAUAUUUUUCCUACUUAGUUAGAAGAAAACAAUAACAAAAUAAUUAUUUUUUUUGAAGAAAAACAAAAUGAUUAUUAUCUCGUUGAAGUCGCCCA
rnacentral:lncRNA from 1 species